GUUUUUUUUUUUAAAGGUUUGGUUUGGAUUUGGUUUAAAAUCCAAAUUUUGGAUUUUUUUUGCCCACCCCUACAUAAGACCUCCUUUGGCACCAUAUCGUACGCUUUUUCCAAAUUAAUAAACACCAUAUAUAGAUCCCGUUUAUUACUAUAAUACCUCUCCGUCAUCCUUCUUAACAGGUAUAUCGUUUCGGUCUUAUGGCGGAAUUGCCAUAAUUUACAGCAUCAGAAUUAAUUACAUAAUCUUCCCUUGUCAUUGCAACGACUCCCUCCUUUAAUUUCUCUCCCAAAGAUUUUGUUCCAAUCAAAUCUUUCUCGUUUUGGUUUGCCAAAAUUUCCUGUUUGGGAUUAUUCUGGUCAACAAUCCCCCACCUCCCUCUUGGUGGUUUUGGCAACCCAUAACCAUCUUUGACAGCACAUUUCCAUUGCAUCACUAAGCAUCUUCGGGCACCCAUCCACUUUGUGUUCAUAUCUCCCACAAUGGAAACAAAUUUGAUGGAGUCCUCCAUACUCCAAUCUGAAUUCUUUUCCCAAUGCUGAAAAUGAAGGAACCAACUUUUUCCUUAGGUCAACUUCCACGCAAAUGUGUGCAAAUUUUUCUCUAAAGUGUAUGAAAGUAAGUUCGUCCACCCUUAGCUUUGUGACUAUCGUUUUACCCACAUUUCGAAGGAAGUACUUAUUAUAUAAUUUCACCAGAAAAUUAGGGAUCUUAACCCAUACUACAACCUUCUGUACUUCAAUCUCCUGUGGGGUAAGCAAUGGCUUCCAUCUCUAGACUAACAUGUAGUGAUUUGCAAUGAUCCAUGGACCUUUGAAGAAUGCAUGCGUGUAACCUUCUUGGUUAAAGAACCAAACCAGACAAAAUUUCAUCAAGAUCCAUAACGCGGACAACUUCCUUCCUAGUCCAUCUCCUACUAAUCCAUUUUUCCAUGGUCAGUAGGUUAAACUUCUUUUCGAAAGAUUUAAUUAUAAGAGCUUGUUUCCAAGUCUACACCAUUCAUCAUAUUCCUCAAGUGAGACGUCUAGGAUUGUAUUUGGAUUGAAGGGAGUUUGGUUCUUUUCUCCGUGAUUCAUAAGCUCUUUAUCGGAAUCUUUAACCACCAUCUCAACAAUUUGUUUAAGAUUCAGCUUUCCAAGCCCAUCAUCUAGCAAUCUGUCCUUAUAGGACGUCUUAAGCUCCUUCGAAACAACAGCAUCGGACUCUAAAUUGUUCUUGAACGUGGGUAUAGCAUCUAGGGGUGGGCAAAAAAAAAUCCAAAAUUUGGAUUUUAAACCAAAUCCAAACCAAACCUUUAAAAAAAACCAGUUUUAAACAAAAAAAAAAUCCAAACCAAACCAAAUUUAUUUUAUAAUUUGGUUUUAAGUCCAAUCCAUUUAAACGGUUUUAAUCCGGAUCUGGAUCCAGAUCCAGAUUAAAAUCCAAAUCUCACAAAACCCUAAUUCUUAACUUUUGAUUCUCAAAAUCCCGAUCCAGAGCACCGUCAUGAUUCACGAAUCCUUUUCUCCUUCGCCCGCAGCCGCCAGCCAGCACCGCCGCACCGGAGCAGGCAACUGGCACUGCAGUUUCGUAGCUGCCACCACCACCACAAGCGCGUCGCACCACUGCUCUGUUCCGCCAUCCGCGGUUCCGCCGUCCGCCUUUUCUCGCCGUGACCCAGCUCUGUUCUUCUCCGUUCUCUGGGUACCCUCAAGCAAGGUUGUGUGGUUGUCCUUUGGUCAAGUGUUGACGGUGAUUUCUUAGAUGUAGAAGGCUAUCUUGAGGGAAGUUUAUAAGAAGAAGAAGUACACGUCAAGCUCUUGAUCUCCACCCUAAGAAGUAAGAAGACUAGAGCCAUUCGCAGAGGCUCACCAAGCACCAGGUUCUUUGUGAUUUAAGACCAAGAGAAUUAUACUAAGAGAAAUCAGCUACUAAGAAUAAGGGUUAGGGUAGUUAGAAGCUCAAUCAUAUGAUAUAUAAACUAAAAUUAUGAAGCUGUAUUGGUUGAGUUUGUGUUGCUGGAUUUGUGCUUGAUUAUGUUAUGGCGAAUGUUUAAUUGAUCUUUUGAAUAUGUGAUUUUAUCUAUAUAUAUGCUUUUGUAGUUUUGCCUUUUGUUGUUGUUCAUUAUUUUUUUUAUUUAUUUGUGUUUGCUUUAAAAAUAUAAUUGAACCUUGAAGAUUAUUUUACUAUCCGUGAAAGAUGUUGUCAGAAGUUCUAGCUUUUUUGAAGUUCUUUCAUUUCUCUAUCUAAAUCAUGUUGAUGAUGUAUCAAAAAGAUUGGCUGGCUGCUGGAGCAGAUCACAAAAUUAUUUUUAAAGAAGUACAUGUUUACUUUGCAAAGUACAUACCCUUUAUUCUUCUUAACUGAAGGAGGAUGUGAACUUUAUGUAGAUGUGAGAAGAAAUUCAUUAGAGGAGGCUCUAAAAUCUUUGCAUAGAACAUAGAUUGCAAGGAAUAGUCUUUGAAGUUAAAGAAAUUAAAUAUUUACUUAUUUAGAAAUCCUGAAGCUGUAAGCUAAGAAAGAAAUUAAAUAUUCUCUUAGAAGUUUUUGCUUAGAUAUAUUUGCAUUGCAAAUUGCACUACUAUUUCAUGUAUUUGAGAAAAAUAUGUCCAGUUAUUAUGAAUGUUGGCAAGAUAUAACGCUCUUAGAAGUAACAUAUUCCUGAAUUGUAAAACUUUAUUUUGUAUUGUGAUGUGAUAGAAAAAUGUGGCUGUUUUUUGGUUUUUUUCUUAGAUUUUGUACAAAACAAUUUAUUUAUUGUCUUUACUUUUGUGUUCUGAUUUAAGCUUGAAUUUGGAUUAUGCAAAUGAGUUUUAAAUUUGAUCAUUAAUAAUGUUUUAAAUUUAGAUAUACUAGGCUGCAUAUCCCUAAAGAAAUUUAUGAGUUAUAAAUAACGCUUCCCCUUUUGAAAAAUGGUGCCUUGUGCAGAAAGAAACUGAAUUCUGAUUCUGCAGCAGUAGAUUCUUGAGUACAUAACUCUCAAUUUAUAUGAAUUUUUUAUUUAAACACUGCUGCUGUCUUGCAAGAUAUAUGAACAUGCAUUAGUUUAUGAAUCAUGUUGAAGUUUUAUUGGUUUUAAAACUGAAUUUUUAGUUAAAAAAUCUGGUUUUAAAAUUGGAUUUUAUAAAAAAAAAAAACCGGAUUUUAGAUUUGGAUUUUAAGAAAAUGGAUUUAAAACCGGUUUUAUAUGUAAAACUGGAUUAAAAACCGGUUUUAUAUGUAAAAUUGGAUUUAAAACCGGUUUAUAAAUAAAACUGGAUUUAAAUUCUAAAAUCGGUUUAAAACCGGUUUUUGUUUUUCCAAACCGGUUUAAAACCGGUUUCUCUCUUCAAUCCAGUUCUGGUUUGGUUUCAUGAACCAUAAAACUGGUUCUGAAAUGGAUCCAGUUUGGAUUUAUAAAAAUCCAAACCAUGCCCAGCCCUAGUCUUAUGGAAGGUUUUAGAAAAGAAGAGAGUAAGGAGCGCAUAUAUUCGUGCAAUUAAAGACAUGUAUGAUGGGGCCACAACUAGUGUGAAGACUCAAGGUGGUGUGACAGAGGAAUUUUCUAUUGGUAUAGAAUUACACCAAGGAUCAUUCUUAUGUCCAUACCUUUUCACAUUAGUCUUGGAAGUACUCAUAGAGCACAUCCAAGAGCCUGUGCCAUGUGCAUGUUUUUUGCCCAUGAUAUCGUCAUUAUGAGAGAGUCAAGGGAAGACAUAAAAAAGAAGUUGGACUUAUGAAGAGAAGCUCUAGAAGUGUAUGGUAUGCGCAUAAACUGUAGCAAGACGGAAUAUAUACAAUGUAAGUUCAAUCUGAGGAGGGAAAACCCCAAUAUAGAGGUGAAGAUUGGAGAAAACAUCCUACGAAAAGUUAAAAGUUUUAAGUAUCUUGGAUACAUCAUUCAGGAUAAUGUAGAGAUUGAACAGGAUGUAAAUCAUAGGAUCCAAGCAGGUUGAUCAAAAUGGCGUUGGUUUUAUAUGUGAAAAAAUAGUGCAUUUCAAACUUAAAGGUAAAUUAUAUCGCACUGUAUAAGACCGGCUAUGCUUUAUGGUAUGAAGUGUUGGGCGGCCAAAGGGGAACACGAACAUAAGCUAACUGUGGCAAAGAUGAAGAUAUUGAGAUGGAUGAGUGGUCAUACGCGAUUGGAUAAAAUAAGGAACGAAGAUAUAAGGGAGAAAGUUGGAGUAACACCCAUUGUGAAAAAAUGGUAGAAUUGCCUCGGGUGGUUUGGAUAUGUGAGAAGAAGACCAACAGAACACCCAGUUAGGAGGGUGGAUGAGAUGGAAGAUGGAUAAGGAGUGAAAGGCAGAGGAAGACCUAAGAAGACUAUCUAUGAGGUGAUCAAACGAGAUCUACAUGUAAACGGUCUCUCUGUAGACAUGAUACAUGAUAGAGUUCAAUAGCGUCGUUUGAUUCAUGUAGUCGACCCACCUAGUGGAACAAGAUUUUGUUGUUAUUGUUGUUGUUGGUGGUAGUGGUGGUGGUAGUGAUGGUGUUGCUGUUGUUGUUGGUAUUGCUUUUGCUGUUGCUGCUAUAAAUUUUGGCAAUUCCAUUAAAGAUUCGGGAUGAGUCCAUUUGGACCUUGGAUGGUGGGAAAAAACCCCAAAGGAGAAACAAGCAAGGAUUAGAGAAUCAUAUCGCAAAUAAUAAGGAAGGAAAUUUUUCUACCCGUUUUGAGGCUCUAAGACGGGAU